AGAGACAGCAGCCGCCACGGUAAUACAGAGGGUGCGAGCGUUAAUCGGAUUUACUGGGCGUAAAGCGUGCGUAGGCGGCUAAUUGAGUCGGAUGUGAAAUCCCCGAGCUUAACUUGGGAAUUGCAUUCGAUACUGGUUAGCUAGAGUGUGGGAGAGGAUGGUAGAAUUCCAGGUGUAGCGGUGAAAUGCGUAGAGAUCUGGAGGAAUACCGAUGGCGAAGGCAGCCAUCUGGCCUAACACUGACGCUGAGGUACGAAAGCAUGGGGAGCAAACAGGAUUAGAUACCCCGGUAGUCCCUGUCUCUUAUAC
rnacentral:rRNA from 1 species